UUGUCUCAAAGAUUAAGCCAUGCAUGUCUCAGUACAAGCCACAUUAAGGUGAAACCGCGAAAGGCUCAUUAAAUCAGUUAUGGUUCCUUAGAUCGUACCCACACNUACUUGGAUAACUGUGGUAAUUCUAGAGCUAAUACAUGCAAACAGAGCUCCGACCUCUUACGGGAGGAGCGCUUUUAUUAGAUCAAAACCAAUCGGUGGCGGGUUCGCUCGUCAUCGUACAACUUGGUGACUCUGAAUAACUUUACGCUGAUCGCACGGUCUUGCACCGGCGACGCAUCUUUCAAAUGUCUGCCUUAUCAACUGUCGAUGGUAGGUUCUGCGCCUACCAUGGUUGUAACGGGUAACGGGGAAUCAGGGUUCGAUUCCGGAGAGGGAGCCUGAGAAACGGCUACCACAUCCAAGGAAGGCAGCAGGCGCGCAAAUUACCCACUCCCGGCACGGGGAGGUAGUGACGAAAAAUAACGAUACGGGACUCAUCCGAGGCCUCGUAAUCGGAAUGAGUACACUCUAAACCCUUUAACGAGGAUCAAUUGGAGGGCAAGUCUGGUGCCAGCAGCCGCGGUAAUUCCAGCUCCAAUAGCGUAUAUUAAAGUUGUUGCGGUUAAAAAGCUCGUAGUCGAAUCUGUGUCCCGCGCCGCCGGUUCAUCGUCCGCGGUGUUAACUGGCGUGUCGCGGUAUGUCCUGCCGGUGGGCUUAGCGCGCAAGUGCGGCCCAACUCAAUCCUGCCGCGGUGCUCUUCACUGAGUGUCGAGGUGGGCCGGCACGUUUACUUUGAACAAAUUAGAGUGCUUAAAGCAGGCUAAAACUUCGCCUGAAUACUGUGUGCAUGGAAUAAUGGAAUAGGACCUCGGUUCUAUUUUGUUGGUUUUCGGAACCCCGAGGUAAUGAUUAAUAGGAACG
rnacentral:rRNA from 1 species